GUCUCGGGGAGGUCAAGAAUAGACUACACCUCCAGUCCUGACAGACUGAAAUUUUCUAGGCCUUUUCCAAGUAGCUACAGCGAUGAUCUCAUUUCGGAACAAUGUGAAGUUAUACACCCUAUCCUGAGCCUGUUUUCCCAUCCUAGAUAAGUGUUAACUUUCACCGUUAGCUCACAUUAUUUCCUGAUGAUGCCUACGUGUACUCCACACCUGUGAUGUUGGUGCACGUGCACGGCCUCACCUUCACAACGGCGAAAUGGUUUAAACAAGUAGCCUACCUGGCAGACUAAGUUUUGGUCUCAUCACAUAAGUGAUUCUCAUGAAACUUCGCAGACUGCUGACAGGAACACAUGGAUGGCAGACCCCUGGGAAUUGCUGCUUGCAGCUAUAUUUUUGUUCGUUGCAUGUUUAAUUGAUUUUGUUGCACUAAAACCCACAUCAAGCUAAAUAUAUUGAACAUCACUAAACCAUGUAAACCACAUAUUCACAUAUAAAUGUACUGUUUUGACCUGGUUGCCACACUCCUUUCCUGUACUGCCACUUUGAGUUCUAUGCCAGUAGAAUGCCUGCCAAAUACAUGAAUGUACAUGAUUUGUUCCAGCUUGUUAGCUAUGAGUCACAGCAAAAUGCUAAAAUUAAUGUUAUUUUCUGCUUACAAUCUCAUUAGAUAAAUCAGAUAGCCAAUGAUGCUAAUACAAUUUGCAUGGCACUUUGUUAUGUUUAAAGGGUGAGGGGAAAGUAGGGUAGUCGUGACUCAGAUGUUGACGGCUUGAUUCCCAGUCAGGGCACUGUCGUUGGACUGAAUGCAAUGAGCAAGAGGCGGGGCGCUCCUCCACACGGGACGGGGGGGUGUGUCGAAAACCCAAACC